rnacentral:rRNA from 1 species
GACGAACGCUGGCGGCGUGCUUAACACAUGCAAGUCGAACGGUGAAGCGCCUUCCUUUUUGGUGGCUGUGGUUGCGUGGCGAACGGGUGCGUAACACGUGCGUAACCUGCCCCCUUCUUCUGGAUAACCGCAUGAAAGUGUGGCUAAUACGGGAUAUUCUGGGUCUUUCGCAUGAUGGGUCUGGUACAGAUAUUGUUUCUGUGGGCGAUGGGCUCGCGGCCGAUCAGGUUGUUGGUGGGGUGAUGGCCUUCCAAGGGGGUGCGGGGUGGACGGCCUGGGAGGGUGGACGGUCAGAGUGGGAGUGAGACACGGUCGAGACUGAGACGGGAGCCAGCAGUGGGGAAGAUUGCACAAUGGGGGAAAGUCUGAAGUAGCGAGGAGGCGUGAGGGAUGGAGGCGUUCGGGGGGUGAACCUCUUUGGCUAGUGAAGCAGGUCUGCCUCGGUUGUGGGGGGGGUGACGGUAGCGGGAUAAGAAGCGCCGGCUAACUACGUG